GACGAACGCUGGCGGCGUGCUUAACACAUGCAAGUCGAACGCUGAACCCGCUUCGGUGGGGGAUGAGUGGCGAACGGGUGAGUAACGCGUGGGCAACCUGCCCCCGGCUCUGGGAUAACUCCAAGAAAUUGGGGCUAAUACCGGAUGUGACCGCUGGCCGCAUGGUCUGGUGGUGGAAAGGGUUUCCGGCUGGGGAUGGGCCCGCGGCCUAUCAGCUUGUUGGUGGGGUAGUGGCCUACCAAGGCGACGACGGGUAGCCGGCCUGAGAGGGUGACCGGCCACACUGGGACUGAGACACGGCCCAGACUCCUACGGGAGGCAGCAGUGGGGAAUAUUGCGCAAUGGGCGGAAGCCUGACGCAGCGACGCCGCGUGGGGGAUGACGGCCUUCGGGUUGUAAACCUCUUUCAGCAGGGACGAAGCGCAAGUGACGGUACCUGCAGAAGAAGCACCGGCCAACUACGUG
rnacentral:rRNA from 1 species